CUACGGGAGGCACCAGUGAGGAAUAUUGGUCAAUGGACGCAAGUCUGAACCAGCCAUGUCGCGUGCAGGAUGACGGCCCUAUGGGUUGUAAACUGCUUUUUUACAGGAAUAAUUGCUUUCACGUGUGGGAGUUUGAAUGUACUGUAUGAAUAAGGAUCGGCUAACUCCGUGCCAGCAGCCGCGGUAAUACGGAGGAUUCGAGCGUUAUCCGGAUUUAUUGGGUUUAAAGGGUCCGUAGGCGGCUUUUUAAGUCAGUGGUGAAAUCCCAGAGCUCAACUCUGGAACUGCCAUUGAAACUGAAGAGCUUGAAUAUGGUUGAGGUAGGCGGAAUACGUUAUGUAGCGGUGAAAUGCAUAGAUAUAACGUAGAACACCAAUUGCGAAGGCAGCUUACUAAGCCAUUAUUGACGCUGAUGGACGAAAGCGUGGGGAGCGAACAGGAUUAGAUACCCGGGUAGUC
rnacentral:rRNA from 1 species